ACGAACGCUGGCGGCGUGCCUAAUACAUGCAAGUCGAACGCUUCUUUUUCCACCGGAGCUUGCUCCACCGGAAAAAAGAGGAGUGGCGAACGGGUGAGUAACACGUGGGUAACCUGCCCAUCAGAAGGGGAUAACACUUGGAAACAGGUGCUAAUACCGUAUAACAAUCGAAACCGCAUGGUUUUGAUUUGAAAGGCGCUUUCGGGUGUCGCUGAUGGAUGGACCCGCGGUGCAUUAGCUAGUUGGUGAGGUAACGGCUCACCAAGGCCACGAUGCAUAGCCGACCUGAGAGGGUGAUCGGCCACAUUGGGACUGAGACACGGCCCAAACUCCUACGGGAGGCAGCAGUAGGGAAUCUUCGGCAAUGGACGAAAGUCUGACCGAGCAACGCCGCGUGAGUGAAGAAGGUUUUCGGAUCGUAAAACUCUGUUGUUAGAGAAGAACAAGGAUGAGAGUAACUGUUCAUCCCUUGACGGUAUCUAACCAGAAAGCCACGGCUAACUACGUGCCAGCAGCCGCGGUAAUACGUAGGUGGCAAGCGUUGUCCGGAUUUAUUGGGCGUAAAGCGAGCGCAGGCGGUUUCUUAAGUCUGAUGUGAAAGCCCCCGGCUCAACCGGGGAGGGUCAUUGGAAACUGGGAGACUUGAGUGCAGAAGAGGAGAGUGGAAUUCCAUGUGUAGCGGUGAAAUGCGUAGAUAUAUGGAGGAACACCAGUGGCGAAGGCGGCUCUCUGGUCUGUAACUGACGCUGAGGCUCGAAAGCGUGGGGAGCAAACAGGAUUAGAUACCCUGGUAGUCCACGCCGUAAACGAUGAGUGCUAAGUGUUGGAGGGUUUCCGCCCUUCAGUGCUGCAGCUAACGCAUUAAGCACUCCGCCUG
rnacentral:rRNA from 1 species